rnacentral:rRNA from 1 species
AGUACGGCGAGUGAGUGGGAAAGCUCAACUUUGAAAUCUGGCACCUUCGGUGUCCGAAUUGUAGUCUCAAGAAGUGUUUUCUGUGCUAGUCCAUGUAUGAGUCUGUUGGAACACAGCGUCAUAGAGGGUGACAACCCCGUUCAUGACAUGGAUACUAGUGCUCUGUGAUACACUCUCGAAGAGUCGAGUUGUUUGGGAAUGCAGCUCAAAUUGGGUGGUAAAUUCCAUCUAAAGCUAAAUAUUGGCGAGA